rnacentral:rRNA from 1 species
CCUACGGGAGGCAGCAGUGGGGAAUCUUGCGCAAUGGGCGAAAGCCUGACGCAGCGACGCCGCGUGAGGGAUGAAGGUCUUCGGAUCGUAAACCUCUGUCAGCAGGGAAGAACGGUCGCUGUGCUAAUCAGCAGUGAAUUGACGGUACCUGCAAAGGAAGCACCGGCUAACUCCGUGCCAGCAGCCGCGGUAAUACGGAGGGUGCGAGUGUUAAUCGGAAUUACUGGGCGUAAAGCGCUCGUAGGCGGUAUGUCAAGUCAAGGGUGAAAGCCCCGGGCUCAACGUGGGAACUGCCUUUGAAACUGGCAAACUGGAGUGGGUGAGAGGAUAGUGGAAUUCCAGGUGUAGGAGUGAAAUCCGUAGAUAUCUGGAGGAACAUCAGUGGCGAAGGCGACUAUCUGGCACAUAACUGACGCUGAGGAGCGAAAGCGUGGGUAGCAAACAGGAUUAGAUACCCUGGUAGUC